CAGCAUCCUGGUCCCUCUCUCCUGAUUGCACCGCCCACUCUCCCUCCCAUCUCCUCUCCUCAGCUUUAUGCAGACUGCAGCGAUGCAUUGUGGGAAACUCCCAAGGUUUUUUUUUUUUUUUUUUUUUUUUUUUGCCUCUUCCGUCCUCCCUCCCUCUUCUCUGCAGAACAUCCAGCUUCCAAGGUGUGACUUGUGCGAACAACAGUCUGGGGAGAGAAGGUUCCGUGUCAUGUCCUGGUGAAAUAUUGGCGGAGUGAGAAGGUUGCUGGGACGACUGCUACCAGGGGAUCCAUUUGAGGUUGAUCCAUCAGCCUGACUACACCAGGUGAAAGCAACGUGGGUCCAUAUAGCUGGUAGUAAUAUCCUGAGAGCCGGCCCUGUGAAGGUCAGGUCACCCCCACCCCCUGACUGCACUCAUAGGGAUGGAAUCUAAAGGAAGCACUCGAAGCGGAAGCAAACCUGAUGCCAAGGCCGCCAGCUCAGGAAAGCCAGAGAAGCCCAACCCCGGGCCUGCUAUGAACGCAGACAAGAAGGAAACCCCCUCCAAGGAGCAGCCCGCCCCUGUGGCCACAAUGAAGAAGGCGGCCAGCGAGACCGCUGCACUGAAUAACCACAGCCCUGCGGCCCCGGAGGUGCAAGAGGCCACCGGCCAGUCCCCUGACUCUGAGCACAAGGGAAACGGCGCAGAGGAAUCCUCAGGCAGUGUCUUCGACAAUGUGAAGCCACUGGCCAUUGUUGGAGGUGUGGUGGUGGCUGCCAUUGCUGUAAUUCUGGGAGUGGCAUUUCUAGCCCGGAAAAAAUGAAGACAGAGAAAGGGUUGGGGGAGAGAAAUAUAAUCAACUGUACAGUUCCUUUUGAAACACAUGCAUGCAGUAAAUUCUAUACAUAUCUAUACAUAUAUAGAGAGAGUGCUAGAUAGGGUAACUACAGCACCAACAACUACUCCAGAAGUCUUGUUCCAAAGGAGCUGUGCCAGUUUGACCAGUAUGGGUACUCCAUGCACUCAUUAUGUGCUUUCAUGUAAUAUAACUUGGCUUGUACAAUGGUGUAUAGAUUACAGCUUCUCCUGAUCAGUGUAAAUGCCAGUGUCCCCUCCCCCACGCUCCUCCCCAGGAGACUCCCCACUUUCCCAUAGUCCCAGCAUUUCCAAGCAGAGGUGUUCUACAUCCUAUCCUGAGACCCUGCUCUAUUUAUUUUGAUUUUUUUAAAUUGGGUUGUGGUAGAGAAGAGGAAAGGGAGAAAAGGAACAGUACUAAGACCCAGUUCAUCAAUUAUUGUGGUUUAUUAUUAAUAUCAUACCCCAACUUGUGCUGGGCGCUUUGCAGACAUGUAAGAUGGCAGCUCCGAGCUUCUGGCCUAAUAUGUACAUUAUAUUCCUAAUGCUUAUCACCCAACCUUUAAAAACAAACCGACAAGACAGGAGUAACCCAUAGCCGGAGGUGAGCUGACUGUGUGAUAUAGAAGAGUGUGGAUCAUAUGGCAUUAUAGAACCUUUUCCCUGUCUGAGAUGCAAACCAGUAGCUACAGUGAAGCUCAAGGGGCAAAUAUGUCUCACUGAGAUCUACAGUGCAGUUUUCAGCCCAUGGAGACAACAUACAAGACUUGGAGUCCCAUCCCAUCUUUAGUCAUACAGAGGACAGUUUCAAUCUGCUCCAUUUUAUGUAUAUUGGGGGCAGUCCCAGGCACCCAGCCAUUUGCCAAUGCAGAUAAGGCCAUUGGGACAGAGUUUGGACAUUCCUGCCCUAGAGAGUGAUGGACUGUUUUGGACAUAAUACAAACAGAAAAGGAGUACUUGUGGCACCUUAGAGACUAACAAAUUUAUUAGAGCAUAAGCUUUCGUGAGCUACAGCUCGGACAUAAUACAAUAUUUGAUAAACUUAAAACUGGCCUCAGCAGAGCACUUAGGGCUCACUCCAAACUGCACUGGUGUCCAUUGGAGGUUUUCCAUUGACUUCAGUGGGCUUUGGCUCAGGCCCUUAAUCCUGGUGCUUUUCCAUAAAAGGUUGAUCUCUCCUUGCAUGCAGCAAAGGUAGAAGAAAAGGCAGACAAGAACUGGGCUUUAAGGGCAAGUAGCACAUGAAGCACUAUGGGAAUGAUAUACAUGAUCCCCUUUAUGCUGGGAAAACCAUGUGCAAAAGUGAUGAAAACAGAUUGUGCUUGGAGAGAUCUUCUACCACCUAAUUUGAGUCUACCAGGAAAAUGUAAAAAAACCCAUGUCUUGAAAGUGGAAACAAUUUCCCAAAGCUUGGAAACAGCCUGGUUUCUUUGCUGGGGCGGAAGGGAAGGAGGUGAGAUCUAAAACCAGACCGUGGGUAGGAAGGGAGAAGUAAGGGAGGGGAUAGAUGGAGGCUCCAUUUACUACAUUCAUUGAAGCCUUUCCCAUGACACUGAGAAGAUGGGACACCCCAACUCUUCUGAGGAUGAGUGACCUUUCCAGACUCAGAACUUCCAUUACGACCCCUAUUUGCUGCUGCUGCUAGCGUAUGGAAAGGAUUCUUUAUCCAAUGUUUUGUUUUAAACAGAGCCAGAAUUGAAACAGAAUAACCGAAAGAGUCAUUGGAACUCAGCAGUAGUUCUUGCUAACCGGUGAGUGAUACACAGGAGUGUCACAGUUUUGCAGCGAUGAUUGGCAAAGAUACUUUUCAAAAGCCAGAGAAACCAGUCCAAAUUCAGAGGAAAUGUAGAAGUGGGGUGUAAGUUACAUGUCUGGAAGGGAGCCUGAGCACCUGGGCGUAUAAACCAGUAUAAGGGCUAGAUGAAGCAUCAAUUAUGCCAAGUCUCUUAGUUUCUUACACCAGAUAUUUUGCAUCUUCCACUGACACAUCUAGUAUUGGCCACUGUUGGUUGACAGGAUACUGGACUGAAUGGACCACAUAUCUGAUCCAGUCUGGCAAUUCCUAGAUUUCUAACUCAGAGUCCUUUAAGAAUUUAUCCUACUGAGUACAUGUGGCUCGUCGGAAUAUUUGGGCACAGCUUCUUUACAAAUUCCCUUCUAUUCCUGCAGUUAAUUUUUCACCAUCUUUUCUAUGAGGCUCUUAAAAUAUUCCCAGAAGUAUGUGGCCUCUUUGGGUAUAAAAUUCUAUCUCCUGGUUUCCAAACUAUUGUGUGUUUCUGAGUUUUAACCUGCAUAUGUUCUUUUCCAUUGCACAGACUGAUGCAAUCUGAUCAGGUUUGCCCCAUUGUUGAAACAAGUGCUAACAACCACCAUGCUUAAACUUGAUAGGUGCUAGCACUGUUUCACCUGUAUUGUGGACAGGAUUUAUAACUCCAGCUUGUAAUACAUUCCCUCCUGUACUGAGAAGGCUAUGGGAAAACCUUAGUAAGAAUAGACUAGCUACAUCAUGGGGGAUUCCUUGUUAUUAUCUACCCAGAAGGCUGUUUGGCUGGUUGUUUCUUUAAUAACCUUUCCUUGUUGGGGAGCUAAUGUGUCCCCAUAAUGUUUUGCAGAUGCUGAGAUGUUAAUUUAUUAUUAUAAGCUGGGGUGAGGAUAGGGUGAAAAGAAGGAAGUGCAAAGUACAGACCCCUGAGAUGGGGAAGAAAUCAUAACUGUCUAGCCUGUCUCCUGCCAAGGCAGGGUUGGUGACUCCUGGAACUUAUGAAGCAGAGAUUUGAUUUCUAGCUUCAAGUGUAAGUUACUUCAAGAGAUGCUUCCCUAUUUGUUGCCCUCCCAUUUAGUUCUGGCAGAUGUGUUUUCCAGUGGAGUGUGUGAUAAAAAUCACAGAUCUAGCUCCUUUCUGAACUAACCAGGGUAAACAGAAAUUCAAGGAGGAAAACAUUGGAUGCUUCGCAGGAGCCCUCCUCUCUUCCUCUUUUUAAAAGUGUUUUAAUUUGAUUGCAUUCAUCUUUGGAAAACUGAGAAAAAACGUUCUGAGCUGGGAGGGGCUUAACUGCAAAACUUCCAUCCAGAUCUGAACUGUUCCCCAAAGCAAUAAGAUACAUGAUUUGGAUGCAGGGCCAACUCUAGUUCUAAGCCAAUAAUUUCCUCCUGAAAUAGGCCAGGGAGAUUAUUGAAACACAGGAGACUGUGACAGGGGCAGGACUAGAACUUGUCAUCUUGAAAAAUAACCUUGCCCUCAAUCAUAUUUAUGGCCGUGAAGAAAUAGGUUAGGUCUCUAAGGGAAUCAUUCACUUGCUGUAAUUGCUCGGUACUGUGGUCCACUGUCUCAUUCUCCAGAACCCAGCUCAUUUGCUGGUCUGAAAACACCCAUUUUUGUGUGGAUGUGUACAAACCCACUGCCUGCUUGAAGAAUAUUACAUGUAUAUAUUACAGUUUACUGCAGUCUUUGUAAAGCUACACAACCCAUAUUUUUUGUAAAGAAAAAUAUUGAGACCACCCUUUAUUUGUGCACCUGCAUUCACACAAAGUGUCCAUGUUUUCUUUUUUGUACCAUUCGCAUUCUGCCCAAAGCAACAUUUUUGGUCGUGGUCAUUUCUUACCACUAAGAGAAUGUCUGGCUAGGAAACUCCUGAAUGUAUAGAGUCCCCAUUGUGCUACAAGCUAAUAAUUACUGUCUCCCCAUCUUCCCCAAAUAGUCAUGUGGGCUACUUUGCUUUUAAAAAGGUACUUCCUCUUUUAAAGUAUUUUGGAAUGUGUCGUGUUGUAGUGGAACUAGUGCUGGUUUGAGUCUGGUAUAUCACAAGGAGGUGCCAUGCAAGCUUCCUAAACAAACAGGGUUUCGGUGCCCUUCAGUCCUGACUUGCAACUACCCCUUUUAGCAGAUGCUGUCUGUUAUACCGUUGUGCUGCACUGCAUGGUGGUUUCCUGUUGAGCACAAGCGGCCAGUGAGAACUAGACUGAGAAGAGCAAAUGAUCUCUCUGUUGGAACCAACGACAGAUUGAAACCCAAUUUGUCAUAAGGCAAAAGGCUACCGAAUGAACUUGCUGUGCUAAAUAAAUAGUUGUCCUGUCUUGCGGCAGCACUGAGCACAUGCCUUUAUUUGCUUGAUGUUUUGUGUUGUGUUUGCUGUCAUAUGAGGUCCUCUUAGUGACAUCUCCUCAGUGAGAACGAAUUAAAGCUUGAAACGGGUAAGAUUCCGGCUUGGGGAUUUGUAGAGAUCUAGAUUGCUAGUUUACUCUUAUUGAUGCUGUUUAGAAAUUUGAUAGAUUAACUAUACAAACACUGCAGUAGAAAAUGCAGCUUAUCUUUAAAACAGAUUCAAUUACUACAUUUGUUCUAUUUUGAAGAAGCCACCCCUCCCGAUCUAAUGCAAGACUGUCACUUUUUAGGACAGGGUUUCCCCUGUCCCCAGCUCUGUAAAGCUGACAUUGGCCACCUUUCCUCUGGUGGGGCCUGAUCCGAGGCCCACUGAAGUCAAUGGAGAGACUUCUAUUGACUCCAAUGGGCUUUGGAUCAGGCCCAGGCCUCCUAAUAGGUCUGCUGUGGGAUAGAAUCACAUCUGAGCGUGAGGGAUGCUCUAACAGCGUUUUCAGCAUGGUGAGACUGUGUUCUGCCAGGUGCUUUCCAUCUCAUGGAGGCCCUGAUUCACCAAGAGCACUUAAGCACAUACUUAACGUUAAGUAGACCCACGGCCCUUCAAUGUUACAUGCUUAAGUGCUCUGCUGAAUCAGGGAUUUGGGGGCUGAUCCAAAAAACAUGAAGGGAAGUCUUUCCACUAAUUUCAAUAGGCUAUGGAUCAGGCCAUUAGAGCUACUUUCCCAUUUUCUUCUUCUUCAUUUGUAUUGUGGUAUUCUGGCAUGGUCCCUCUGUGCUGGGUUAAUUUCGCUCACAGGGAAUGGGGAAAACAACCAUUAGGUUUGAUUUGAAAGGGUUCCACGUGUGGAGCUCUCACUCUCAUACUUCAGGUUCUAUCCUUUGAUCUCAUGGACCGCCAGGGAAACCAUAAGCGGAGACUAUGAAGAGUGUCCCUCUCGCACGGUGCAUCCAAAACUACUGCUCUAUUUACAUUUAAUGAAUUACUCCUAGCCCCAAAAUACAAUGUAUUUUAAAACAAUUCUUAAAUAAUUUAAGGACUUGGAUCAUCAAGAAAUGACUUUUCUUGGCCCAUUGAAUUUUAAAAACUCUUCCAACCCAAUCUUGAUUUUAGUUUAAUCCUUCACCAAAGACCAUCUGUUGCACAUACUGCUUAUUACUUUUAACAGCAUGUCCAGUUAUAUUAAGGGCAUUGAGUGUAGGCUGAUAAAUGUUAGCUAUUAUGUUUAGUUUGUGGCAGAUGAUGAGGCAAUACCUAAAUUAGACUAUCAAAUGAUAUAAAUUAUAUUUAAUGUUCCUCUCCUCAGGCUAGACUGUCAUAGCCUUGAUCACACUUAGUAGCACUUAUUUCCCAUUGACUUCAGAGGGAUUAAUCAUGUAAGGUACUAUGUAGCCUAAGGAUAUUGUAAUCUGGACCAUAGACAGGAGACCCACUGAAGGCCACAUGUGUCAUUCAGUCCAGUGUCUUCACAGGACUACUCACUAUGUCAUUCCAUAAUGAUGGUGCUUGACCAUGUGCCAUUGAGAAGAUCAUUUCAUUGUACAAUUUUCUCAUGCAGUUAAGAACUUUUCCUCAUUAGCUGCAGGUUUUUGCCCUUUUUCCAGCCAUCAUCGGAGAAUAAAUUCUGCACUUCCAUUAACUAUUAGGUAUUCAUAGGCUAUGACCAAGUUCCCGCCAUCACUCUAAAACUCAUUUCUAGUUUAUAUGGGCCAGAUCCUCAGCUGGAAUAAAUUGGCAUAGCCCCAUUGACUUGAAUGGUGUUACACUGAUUUACAUCAGCUGAGAAUCUGAUCUGGGACAUUUGUUUCCUUACACUUAAUGGCUUAUCCUCCAAUUUUGGAAUACUACUUGCUUCCCUUUUCAUUUUAUUUAGCAUUCCUAUAAUCUUCCCAAGCAAUUUUCCAAGUGUGCUCUCACCAGGGCUAUGCGGAAACCAGAUUUAUGUGACUGUCUCAAAUGCAGGAGUACAUUUUUAACAGUCCACCCAAAGAAUAGCAAAAGUUAUGCCAUUUAAUAUAUAGAUGGCAUACUCAGGGGCUAUAUGUUACAGGCAGGGAAGGAGGUGCACAAGCUUUUAAUCUGCUAUAGUUACCCAAGUCACAAGUAAAUAUUAUGGCCCAAGUCUGCAAGGUGAUGAGUUUCCUCAAUUUCCAUUGAAGUCAAUGGAAGUUGGGGACAUUCAGCACCUCACAGUAUUAGAACCUUAAUUUUCUAGUCUCAUUCUAGCCCUCAUUAUUGCACAUCAGUGACUCACUACAUGAUUGGCACUCUGUUCAAGGGAGGCCCCCAACUGAAGCACUGAGGAACGAUUGCAGGUCAGGGUUGAGAUGCACUGGCAAAGCUGUGUGAGGAAAGCUAGCACAGUAUUUGCAUGCACUGUGCAUGGCUCAAGCCAGUGCUAUUGAUCCUUCAGUUAUUUGAGUGCAGAGAUGAAAGAAAUUAAAUAUAUUUCAUUGGACAAAAGACUUGAGGCCUGAUUUUGAACUAGGUCCAUGGCAUGGAUCAUAGUGGGCCUUGGAAAUCUGCUAAUGUGCAUGGCACAUGCUGUAUUUCCGACGCCACAAGAGAACAGGUUUGAAGUCGGUGCAUCAGCUGGGCACAGAAAAGUUUGCAAGCUUUGUUUCCAUGUUGGUGGGCUGUUCAAAUUGUGUUGUCUCAUGGGACUAGGUUAGUGUGAAGAUGUACUCAUCACAUGGCAAGUUCACGUUGUCUUGAAACGGCAGCUUUCCCAAUCAGAUGAAUCUCAGAGCAGGCAAACACUAUGGAAGACCACAGGUUACUGGUCUUAGCUAUUCACAGAUGUGGCUCUACCUUCCACUGCUGCAUUGCCCCGGUCUUAAAAUCUCCAUUCUGUGCAAACGCUGUCAGUGACUCACCUGAUAUGUAGUGAUGUGACCAAGUUUACCACGAGCAGUGGGAGCAGAAUCUGCUGUUCUACACUACUUUUCACUGAUAAAAUAGAACUGGUUAGGAUCUACGACAUAUUCACGUGCCAUGCCUGUUCCUACUUCCCCCACGACACUAGCUCCUAACCUGGAGUCUGCAAUCUUCCCUGCAUAGCCAUCUUCCCAUUCCACCCCACCUUGGUUUUCACAGUUGGAUCUAGCCCACUUAGGGAUCUGGGCCAGCAUCCCAAGAAUCAAAGUUUCUGCCUUGAUCUGCCCUUGCACGUUGAUGCUACGGUGCAACAAUGCCCAGCAGUGAGAGGGAAACUUUCUGCCUAUCUUCAUCAAGCCCUGCAGUACGCGCCAGACUCUAUCGUUGUAGCUUCAAACAGUCCAAAGUUUCUAGGGCGAGUCAACAAGAACAAGGACAGCAUAUUUCCCCCCCCCCCUUUCUUUUUU